UCCACCCCUGAAUCUAGAAUAAAGAAAAACCCGGGAUCUUUUGAAUUAAACAGAGUGACAAUCUGAGGAAUUAUUUUGUGACACGGACAAACAAAGACAUGAAACGAAUGAUAUGGGGAGUAAAGCCCUUGCGCUGAAGUGCAAUGUGAAAAUCUGCACAAUCUGAGGAACUAUAGGUGUGUUAUCUGAUAUACCAUCUGCUAUUUUAUCACAAACAAAAAUGUUGCGUCUAUUAUUGGCCUGAAAUUUGUGAUGUUGGGGAUAUUGAGUCUAUGUCGUUCAUUGAAUCUCUUGGACAAUUCUCUUAUCGUGUUGGUAAGUUUGCUUAGAAGUCUUGGCAUACUGGAAUACGUAUGUAUUUCAUUUGUUUGAAAAGCUUACGCAAACUUCUCUUCUUAAUAGGUCCUGGAAAAUUUUACCUAAUUCAUGUUAGUCUCGUACCAGUGCUAAAUGUUGUUGGCAAACAGGUAAUUAUUCAAAAUCUAUCUUUAUGUUUGUACUAGUUGGUUUUUGUAGUCUGAAGUUCUAUCUAAUAUAAGUAAUGGUAGUGUUACUUUUAACAUAAUACAAAGCCAACACUGCAUAGUGUUAGGGGAUUGCGAGGCCUGGGUUUAACUCCAGAUAUUUUAGCUUGUCGCAACACAUUGCCUUUUGAUGAAAAUGUGAAGGCGAAUCUCUCACAGUUUUGCCAUGUUCCGGUACUUCUAACAGCAAAUACUUUCAUCCUUGUCUUGGAAGGUUUUAAAAGGUAGGCGGAGUCCAUCGAGGCGGGCAAGAAAGACAGAUUAUAAAAGUUUAAAGGAUUACACAGGACUGUUCUGCAUAAGUUCAAAGGGCUUCAUCAUGCUAGUAUCUGAGAUUGAAAAGGACCAAAAGGCUCAUGAAGCUAUAUUGAAAGUGCUGCAUCUUUAUGGGGCCGCAAAGGAGCCCAUGCUAGAUGAAUGGACUAGGAGAGCUCAACUUUGUGCCAUGUUGUAUAAGCAUGUGAGAUUCCAUGGUUUGGAAAGUACACAGGACUUUCAGAUUCCUAUCUAUCUGUACUAAAGGUAAUUGAGUUAUUUGCAUGUUUACAAGCAGAUUGUUCAGUUUUGGGAUGGGUUUUUUGAUUUAGUUUACAAGCAGGCUGUUCAAGGAUUUUGAGACUCAAGAAUUUCUGCAUAUCUUCUGUGAUGUCAUACUUGGAUCUAAGUUUGUUGUAAAUAGUUGGUUGGGUUUACCAAUCCAGAUAGGCAUGGGAAUUUUGGGAACAAGCAAGGAAUUGAUUGAAAUAGUAUGAUAGUUUCUCCAUGAUUCCAUUAAAAUAGUAUGAUAGCUUCUCCUAUCUUGUUCUUGACAUAAUCUUUGUUAUGUAUCUAUUAAUUAUAUUUGUACCCAAUAAUUUAUGUCUGACUUACCUGAAAAUUUCUAGUUAUAGUUAAAGUGAGAUUUGUAGUUUUUCCAAUUAUAGUUAAUAGUCGGAUUUGUAGCUUUUCUAUCUGCAUUUGUAACACUUUUCUGCAUAAUUUGAAAAUGAUGGUUGAAAA